rnacentral:tRNA from 1 species
GCGCCCAUAGCUCAAUGGAUAGAGCGCUGGCCUUCGAAGCCAGUGGUGUAGGUUCGAUUCCUGCUGGGCGCA